ensembl:lncRNA
CCUCGCUGGACCCCCCCGGCGCCGAGCCCCCACCCCCCCAGCGCCGGGUCGCCUGCAUCAGCCAUAAAACCAUUGAGGAUAUCAAGACAGGCGCCAGCCCCGACGCCACCUCUCCGUCCAUAAAAGCCCCACCUCGCUCCGAGGCACAUCGGCAUACCUUGACAUUUCCCCAGCCCUCACCUUGGGCAGGCUGGGAAGGGAAGAGAGGGAGCGAAAAAUCCUGGGGGAAGGGGGAGAGAAAAACCCAUCUCAGUUCAAAUCCCCGGCGACCCGGCCGGCUACGUGUCCCGGGAUUCAAAUACACCCCUUAAGAUGGGAAUAAUCCCCCAAAAAGCAAAGGAUACGAAAUGAACAGGGAAAAGGGCUCGAGGUGUGCGGAAGGGUCCCUCUGGGUGCCCGGCCGAUGUGCUCAGCAUCCCCGUGAGCCCCCGGCGCACGCUCCCAACCGGAGGACCCAGAGGCAGCAGGCCGAGGAGCAGGCAGAGCAUAAAACAGGAUCCGGGCUGGAAGUACAUCCUUAUAAUAUUUAUUACUGGCGGAGGAUGAAUCACUUUCCAAUAUACGGGCCACUAACUGUUGAAGGGGGGGAAAUCUCUUUAACGAGGAGGAAUAUAUAUGUUGUGCUUAGGGAUGUGCUCACGGGCUGGCAGCGCUGCAGGCAGGGGCUGCCAGCUCCUUGCUCUGCUCCCGGUGACCGCCCAGCCCACGUCUGCCCCCAGCACCACGCCGCUCCACAGCUUAUUCUCAGCGUCUCCUCAGCCCCACAGCACAAAGGGGGGAACCCUACGAGGACCCCCUCCAGCCCCCCGGCCGGGUGCUGACUGGAAGGAUCCAUCCCGUGCCCGGACAGCGCCAUAACCUCAGCGGUUCGGGAACUCUUUACCUGGAAACUUUUGAGGGGAGGAUUCUGCAUUAAAUUUUAACCGAUCUAUUCUCCGAUUCUUCACUUUUGCUUUAUUAAUUUAUGACAGAUAAAAGCAUCGCUGAGCCGUUCUCAUUAACUUUUCAAACGCCACUUAAUCUCGUUCCAUUAAAAGAGGUGACUUAGUACCCUCUGGAUCCGC